rnacentral:rRNA from 1 species
GUGAGGAAUAUUGGACAAUGGGCGCAAGCCUGAUCCAGCCAUACCGCGUGCAGGAAGACGCAUCUAUGGUGUGUAAACUGCUUUUGUACGGGAAGAAACACUCCCUCGUGAGGGAGCUUGACGGUACCGUAAGAAUAAGGAUCGGCUAACUCCGUGCCAGCAGCCGCGGUAAUACGGAGGAUCCAAGCGUUAUCCGGAAUCAUUGGGUUUAAAGGGUCCGUAGGCGGUUUAAUAAGUCAGUGGUGAAAGCCCAUCGCUCAACGAUGGAACGGCCAUUGAUACUGUUAGACUUGAAUUACAAGGAAGUAACUAGAAUAUGUAGUGUAGCGGUGAAAUGCUUAGAUAUUACAUGGAAUACCAAUUGCGAAGGCAGGUUACUACUUGUGGAUUGACGCUGAUGGACGAAAGCGUGGGGAGCGAACAGGAUUAGAUACCCUUGUAGUCC